GAUCUGAACUAACCCGACCCGUUCAAAUAACUGUACGGCCUGCAAUGGAUUCUUUUGGAGAUGAUCGCUUUUAUAUGCUUACAGUCUAGACCAACCUCCUCGCCAUACAUGCACAUUAGAGGUUGUGAAAUUUCUAUGUUUCCUUGUUUCUGACGAUAUAAGCGUGCACGUGCACCGUUAGGGUUUCACUCACUCAUAUACGGCUCCAGUUUUCUCAUUUCAAUGGCAGUUUCUGAAGAGCGACCACCUUUCUCCUCGGUGAUCAAGUCGUAAACCGCCCUGAAGGAUCACAUUUGUUCACCAUGUUCGAAGCACAUGUUUUACAUUUGCUUCGAAGAUAUCUGGGUGAAUAUGUCCAUGGACUGUCAUCAGAGGCAUUGCGAAUUAGUGUGUGGAAAGGUGAUGUGGUUCUCAAAGACUUGAAGUUAAAGGCAGAGGCACUGAACUCAUUGAAACUACCAGUCACUGUCAAAGCUGGUUUUGUUGGCACUAUAACUCUAAAGGUACCAUGGAAAGGCCUUGGGAAGGAGCCUGUUAUUGUUCUCAUUGAUAGAGUUUUUAUUCUUGCUCAUCCUGCUAUUGUCGGUAGGUCUCUUAAGGAAGAGGACCGGGAGAAACUCUUUGAGGCCAAACUACAACAAAUCGAGGAAGCAGAAUCGGCCACCCUUGAAGCGCUAUCAAGAUCAAAGCUUGGAGGAAAUCCAGCUGCUGGAAAUUCCUGGCUGGGAUCAUUAAUUGCAACUAUAAUUGGAAACCUCAAAAUCACAAUUAGCAAUGUUCAUGUCAGAUAUGAGGAUCCUGUCAGCAAUCCGGGGCAUCCAUUCUCUUUUGGUGUUACUCUUGCAAAGCUUGCUGCAGUUACGAUGGAUGAGCAAGGCAAUGAAACAUUUGAUACAAGUGGUGCUUUGGAUAGAUUACGCAAGUUGGUUCAACUUGAAAGGCUUGCUGUGUACCAUGAUACAAACAGUGACCCCUGGAAGUUUGAUAAGAAAUGGGAGGAUUUUACUCCUGUAGAAUGGAUUGAGAUCUUUGAAAAUAGCAUUAAUGAAUCAAUGAAGAAGAAUACAACUAUGUCUGCAUGGGCUAGGAAGCAUAAUUACUUGGUAUCUCCAGUCAAUGGAGUCCUUAAGUAUCAUCGUUUGGGGAACCAAGAAAGAAAUGAUACUAAUGUUCCUUACGAGCAGGCUUCCCUGAUUGUCAGUGAUGUUUCUUUGAUGGCUACAGAGUCACAAUAUCAUGACUGGAUCAGACUUGUGGAGGCUAUUGCAAAAUAUAAGGCAUAUGUAGAAGUAUCUCAUUUAAGACCAAUGAUUCCAGUUUCAGAGAGACCUAGUUUAUGGUGGCGUUAUGCUGCCCAAGCUGGAUUGCAGCAGAAGAAAAUGUGUUAUAGAUUCUCUUGGGAUCAAAUUCAGUAUCUGUGUAAUUUGCGCCGGCGUUAUGUACAGUUGUAUGCUGAAUCAUUGCAACAGCUGUCACGUGUUGAUAACUCCAAGUUAAGAAGCAUUGAGAAGGAUCUUGAUCCCAAGGUCAUUCUAUUGUGGAGGUUCCUUGCCCAUGCAAAAGUGGAAUCUGUCAAAUCAAAGGAAGCAGCUGAACAAAGACUGCUUAAAAACAGAAGCUGGUUUUCAUUUACAUGGCGAGCUUCUUCUCAAGAUGUCUCAGCUGGGGAGACUUCUGAGGAAUCAAAAUCUGUAGAGGAUAGAUUGACCAAGGAGGAAUGGCAAGCUAUCAAUAAAUUGCUCAGUUACCAGCCAGAUGAGGAUGUGACACUGCAACGUGGAAAGGAGAUGCAAAAUACGACAAACUAUUUGAUCAAUGUUUCUAUUGGUAGGGCAGCGGCAGCGAUUAUCAAUGUUGAUCAGACAGAAAUUCUUUGUGGCAGAUUUGAAAAUCUUAAUGUGUCGACUAAGUUAAAGCAUCGAACCAUACACUGUGACGUCUCAUUAAAGUUUUAUGGACUGUCUGCUCCUGAGGGUUCCCUUGCUCAGAGUGUCUGUAGUGAGCAAAAAGUAAAUGCAUUAGAAGCUAGUUUUGUGCAUUCACCAUCUGGAGAAAAUGUUGAUUGGAGGCUAUCUGCAAGAAUUUCUCCGUCUCAUGUCACAGUUUUCAUGGAAAGUUAUGAUCGGUUCUUAAACUUUGUAAAGCGGAGCAAUGCAAUUAGCCCAACUGUUGCACUAGAAACUGCAACUGUGCUCCAGAAUAAAAUUGAAAAAAUGACUCGGAGAGCUCAGGAGCAAUUUCAAAUGGUAUUGGAAGAGCAGAGCAGAUUUGCUCUUGAUAUCGACCUGGAUGCUCCAAAAGUUAGAGUUCCUAUGAGAUCACUUCUCUCCUCUAAAUGUGAUGGCCAUCUCCUUUUGGACUUUGGUCAUUUUACUUUGCAAACUAAGGAGGAUGGCCAAUCCCAAGACCAGGGACAAAGUUUGUAUUCUCGCUUUUUUAUCUCAGGAAGAGAUAUGGCAGCAUUUUUUACAGAUUGUGGUUCAGAUAAUCAGACCUGCUCUUUGGCAUGUCAACCUUCUGAUUCUCCAAGUUUGGAAGAUGCCAAUAAUGUAUAUUUUCUUGUUGAUAGAUGUGGAAUGGCUGUAAUUGUAGAUCAGAUUAAAAUUCCCCAUCCCAGCCAUCCUUCAACACGUGUCUCUGUUCAAGUUCCAACUAUUGGAGUUCACUUUUCACCAGCCAGACUUUGCAGAUUGAUGGAAUUGUUAAACAUACUCCAUCAUACAAUUCCAGAUGCUGAACAGCUUCCUACUGUUGAAAAUACUGAGGCUGAACUUUCUCCCUGGCAUUCACCAGAUCUAGCAACUGAUGCUCGGAUCCUUGUAUGGAAGGGGAUUGGGUACUCUGUUGCUGCUUGGCAAUCAUGUUAUCUUGUGCUAUCUGGAUUGUAUCUUUAUGUCUUAGAGUCUGAGGGGUCCCGUACUUACCAAAGAUGCUCAAGCAUGGCUGGUAAACAAGUGCUUGAAGUUCCCCUGACAAAUGUUGGGGGUUCCGCUUCCUGUAUUGCUGUCAGUGCCAGAGGCAUGGAUCUACAGAAGGCCUUGGAGUCAUUUAGCACACUGAUAAUAGAGUUUCACGAUGAAGAGGAGAAAACUACUUGGUUGAGAACACUUGUACAAGCUACCUAUCGUGCUUCUGCUCCUCCAUCAGUUAGUAUACUUGGAGAACUAAAUGAUGAUGCAUUAGAACUUGCUGAGGCUCGUGCUUUAAAUACAAAGAUGGCUGAACUUGUUGUUAAUGGAACAUUGGUAGAGAUGAAGCUAUCAUUGUAUGGGAAGACAGGAGAUGAGAUAGAAGAUAGAGAUGACGAGACACUAAUCCUUGAGGUUCUUGCAGCUGGUGGAAAGGUGCAUGUUUCACAAUGUAGUGGUGACUUAACAGUAAAGAUAAAAUUGCACUCACUGAAAAUUAAGGACGAACUUCAAUAUUCUUCAUCUUCAAGUCCACAAUACUUGGUCUGCUCUGUUCUGACAGAUAACUCUGCAAUUACUUCACCUGAUACAAUGGAAUCUCAUGGCAAAGAGAUGUCUUUCAUGACAAGGGAAGAGGAUGAUGAAUUCACGGAUGCCUUACAAGAUUUCUUAUCAUUGCCUGAUUCUGGUGAAGCCGUUACCCCGGAGAAGGAUUCAGUGAAGGGAAGAAGUGCCUUUAGUGAAGUAUUCUACGAAACACAGGGCUCCGAUGACUCUGAUUUCGUCUCUCUUUCAUACUUAACACGACACCCUAGCUCUCCUGACUAUGAUGGUAUAGAUACACAGAUGAGUAUUAGUAUGUCCAAGUUGGAAUUCUUUUGCAACAGACCAACUCUUGUUGCUUUGAUCAAUCUUGCCGUUGAUAUGAGUUCUAAAGGUAGUGAAGUUACUGGUAAAAACGUCACAAAAGAUCCCGAUAGUGAAUCCUCUAUGAAUAAAGAGAAGAUAGAAGAUCAUGGGCAUAAAUAUGUCAGAGGUUUGCUGGGAUAUGGAAAAGGUCGUGUUGUAUUUAAUUUGAACAUGAAUGUUGACAGUGUUGCAGUUUUCCUUAAUAAAGAGGAUGGUUCUCAGCUUGCAAUGUUGGUGCAAGAAAGUUUUCUGCUUGAUGUUAAGGUUCAUCCUAGUUCAAUUUCAAUAGAAGGCACUCUAGGAAACUUCCGACUUUGUGAUCUGACACUAGGGUCAGAUCAGCGAUGGGGAUGGCUUUGUGAUAUACGCAAUCAAGAGUCGGAAUCACUUAUUCAGUUUGCAUUUAACUCUCACAAUUCCGAAGAUGAUGAUUAUGAAGGGUAUGAUUAUAGCUUACGUGGCCGACUUUCAGCAGUUCGAAUAGUUUUCCUGUAUAGAUUUGUUCAAGAGAUUACUGCAUAUUUUAUGGGGCUUGCUGCUCCACAUACUGAGGAAGCUAUUAAGCUUGUUGAUAAAGUUGGAGGGAUUGAGUGGUUGAUAGAAAAAUAUGAGAUUGAUGGAGCCUCUGCAGUAAAGCUGGAUCUUUCACUGGAUACUCCUCUAAUAAUUGUACCAAGGAAUUCCACAAGCGAAGAGUUCAUGCAACUUGAUCUUGGCCAUCUUCGAAUUGAAAAUGAAGUUAGCUGGAUUGGAUCUCCUGAAAAAGAUCCUUCUGCAGUCCAUGUUGAUGUUCUUGAUGCUGAGAUUCUAGGUAUUAAUAUGGCUGUUGGAAUUGGUGGACGUAUUGGCAAACCAAUGAUACGUGAAGGCAGAGACAUUCAUAUUUAUGUGCGCCGCAGUCUACGGGAUGUGUUCCGAAAGGUUCCUACAUUUGCAUUGGAAGUUAAGAUUGGCUUGCUACAUUGGGUGAUGUCAGAUAAGGAAUACAAUGUUAUUCUAGAUUGUAUCUGCAUGAACUUGUCUGAGCCACCUAGACUUCCACCUGUUUUCCGUAGCAACAAAUCUACUUCAAAAGAUACAAUACGGUUGCUAGCUGAUAAAGUGAACAUGAAUAGUCAAAUACUCCUGUCACGGACAGUUACUAUAAUGGCUGUUGAAGUGGGUUAUGCCUUGCUGGAGUUAUGCAAUGGCGUCCAUGAGGAAUCACAUUUAGCUCAUGUUGCUCUUGAAGGUCUUUGGGUGUCAUACCGCAUGACUUCUUUGUCUGAAGCUGAUCUUUAUGUUACAAUCCCCAUGUUCUCUAUUUUAGAUAUUCGCCCUGAUACAAAACCUGAAAUGCGUCUGAUGCUUGGAUCAUGCACUGAUGUUCAUAAACAGAUGUCACCUGAUGCGCAUGUUGAGCUUCCAACCUCAACAAUGUUUUUGAUGGAUUGUCGAUGGCGAAUGUCAUCAAAAUCAUUUGUUGUUCGGAUUCAGCAGCCUCGUAUUCUAGUUGCUCCUGAUUUCUUACUUGCUGUCUGUGAGUAUUUUGUUCCAUCUUUGGGAACAAUAACUGGUUGGGAAGAAAUGAUGGAUCCUAAAAAUGAUCCAAUUGUAAAGAACAGCAGCAUAGUUCUGUCUGCUCCAUUUUACAAACAGACAGAAGAUAUAGUGCACUUAUCCCCUAGUAGGCAGUUAGUAGCUGAUGCUGUAGGUAUUGAUGAAUACACAUAUGAUGGUUGUGGAAAAACCAUUCGCCUCACCAGUGAGGAGGUGAAAGAAUUCCAUUCUUCCGAAGCUAAAUAUAUUAUCAUUGUUGGAAGGGGCAAGAGGUUGAGAUUUGUGAAUGUGAAAUUUGAGAAUGGCUUGCUAUUGACGAGGUAUACAUAUUUAAGCAAUGAUAGCAGCUACUCUGUGUCCCGAGAAGAUGGUGUUGAAAUUUUGCUGGUAGAGAGUGACAUUAAUAGUAGUGAGAAUAGUCCCAAGAACAUGGACGAAUUUUUCUAUACUUCUGAUGCUUCAGACGCUGUCCAGAGUGGGGCAAGUGAGGUGCAAAGCUACAGUUUUGAAGCGCAGGUUGUUUCUCCUGAAUUCACUUUUUAUGACAGCAGCAAGUCAUCAUUAGACAAUUCAUCAUGUGGUGAAAAGCUCCUUCGAGCAAAAGUGGACUUUAGCUUCAUGUACGCUGCAAAAGAAAAUGAUAGAUGGAUUCGGGGUCUCUUGAAGGAUCUCACUGUUGAGGCUGGUUCUGGGCUAAUCAUUCUUGAUCCAGUGGACAUUUCUGGUGGAUAUACCUCUGUUAAGGACAAGACAAAUAUAUCUUUAAUCUCCACAGAUAUAUAUGCCCAUCUCUCUCUAGGUGUUAUCUCCCUUUUACUCAAUUUGCAAAUUCAGUUAGCAACAACACUACAAUUUGGAAAUGCCGAUCCUCUUUCCCCUUGUACUCAUUUUGAUCGCAUUUGGCUGUCUCCUAAAGAAACUGGGCUCCUUAACAAUAUUACGUUUUGGAGGCCUAGAGCUCCUCCAAACUAUGUCAUCCUGGGAGACUGUGUGACCUCAAGGCCAAAUCCUCCUUCUCAAGCUGUUGUGGCCAUUAGCAAUACAUAUGGGCGUGUGCGUAAGCCUCUUGGUUACAAGCUCAUAGGCAUAUUUUCUGGAAUACAAGGACCAGCUGGGACACAAGUUUGUGCAGGUGCAGAUGAUGAUUGUUCUCUUUGGCUGCCAAUUGCACCACCUGGAUAUGUGGCAGUAGGGUGUGUUGCUCACAUAGGAAGCCAACCGCCUCCAAGUCACAUUGUUCAUUGCAUACGUCUUGAUCUAGUAACAUCAACAUCAUAUUCGGAAUGCAUAUUCAAUGCUGCUGUGAGUGCUUCAUUUACAUCUGGGUAUAGCAUAUGGCGUUUGGAUAAUGCUCUUGGGUCAUUUUAUGCACAUCCAUCUACUGAAUAUCCUCCAAAAGACUCUUGUUUUGAUCUGAACCAUCUUCUCCUUUGGAACUCAAGUUGGUACAAUUCUUUCUCAAUUCAUCCUUCCCCUGAUCUUACUUUUGAGCAUGAGCGCGUGCAACCAAAUGCAACAUCAGGAUGGGAUAUCAUCAGAUCAAUUUCUAAAGCAACCUCUUAUUAUAUAUCAACUCCAAAUUUUGAGAGAAUCUGGUGGGACAGGGGUAGUGAUCUUCGACGGCCAGUUUCCAUAUGGAGACCUAUAACACGUCCAGGUUACGCAGUGCUGGGUGACUGCAUAACUGAGGGCCAAGAGCCACCUCCCUUGGGUAUGAUAUUUAAGGCUGACGAUCCUGAAAUUUCAUCAAAUCCUGUGCAAUUUACAAAGGUGGCCCAUAUUGCGGUAAAAGGUCUGGAAGAAGCUGUCUUUUGGUAUCCAGUUGCUCCUCCUGGUUAUGCUACCUUAGGGUGUGUAGUGACGCGACAUGAUGAAGCACCUCCUUUAGAAUCUUUCUGCUGUCCAAGGAUGGAUCUUGUGAGUGGAUCUAAUAUUGUUGAGAUUCCAAUCUCAAGAUCAUCAAGCUCCAAGGCUUCUCAAUGCUGGAGCAUUUGGAAAGUUGAGAAUCAGGCCUGCACAUUUCUUGCACGACCUGAUCUGAAAAAGCCUUCAACUAGGCUGGCUUUUGCUAUUGGUGAUUCAGUGAAGCCUAAAACAAGAGACAAUGUGACAGCUGAGAUGAAAAUAAGAUGUUUUUCUAUUACCUUUUUGGACAGCUUAUGUGGAAUGAUGACACCACUUUUUGAUGUCACAAUCACAAAUCUCAAACUUGCAACACAUGGUCGGAUGGAAGCAAUGAAUGCUGUACUCAUUUCUUCAAUAGCUGCAUCAACUUUCAAUACACAUCUAGAGGCAUGGGAGCCACUUGUAGAGCCAUUUGAAGGAAUAUACAAAUUUGAGACGUAUGAAACAAAUGUUCAUUCAUCAUCAAAUCUUGGCAAAAGACUACGCAUUGCAGCAACCAGUAUCUUAAAUAUAAAUAUUAGUGCAGCAAAUCUUGGCACCUUGGCCCAGACUGUUGAUUCUUGGAGGAAACAGAGGGAACUUGAACAAAAAGCCCUCAAGUUAUUUGAGGAAGCUCUUGGUCAUGACACAGAUCAUCAAAGUUCAACUUUUUCAGCAUUGGAUGAUGAUGAGUUUCAGACUUUGGUUGUAGAAAAUAAACUUGGAUGUGAUAUAUAUUUGAAAAAAGUGGAAGAGCAGUCAGAUGCAGUUGAAUUACUAGCUCCUGAUUCUUCUGCCUCUCUGUGGAUUCCACCUCCAAGGUUUUCUGAUAGAUUAAAUGUUACUGAAGAAUCAAGGGAACAUCGACGUUAUGUUACUGUUCAUAUUGUUGAAGCAAAGUGUUUGCCUGUUGUUGAUGACGGCAACAGUCAUAACCUCUUCUGUGCGUUACGCUUGGUUGUGGAGAGUCAGGAUACAAGCCAGCAAAAAGUUUUUCCUCAGAGUGCCAGAACCAAAUGUGUGAAACCAUUAAUUGCUAAAAGAAAUGGUCAGGAUGAGGGUAUGGCUAAAUGGAAUGAACUAUUUAUAUUUGAAGUUCCCCGGAAGGGUCUGGCCAAGUUGGAAGUGGAGGUAACAAAUCUUGCUGCAAAGGCUGGAAAAGGUGAAGUUGUGGGUGCAUCUUCAUUUUCGGUUGGACAUGGUUCUGGUGUUUUGAAGAAGAUUGCUUCUGUCAGAAUGCUGCAUUCAACAUCUGAUGCUGAGAAAAUUGUGUGCCACCCACUGAAAAGAAGGGGUCAGCUGAACAAUGACGCAGAUUCUCGUGGAUGGCUUUUUAUUUCCACCUCAUACUUUGAAAAGAAAACAAUGGUAAACUUCCAAAAUGACAAAAGAGGCAAGGAUGAUAGUGAUGGUGAUAUAGGUUUUUGGGUGGGGCUUAAUGCAUAUGGUCCAUGGGAGAGUAUUCGCUCGUUUCUUCCCCUGUCAGUAAUCACCAAAGAAAUGAAAGAUGACUAUGUAGCUGUAGAGGUUGUUACCAAGAAUGGGAAAAAACAUGCAAUUUUCAGAGGACUUGCUACAGUAACCAAUGAUUCAGAUAUCAAACUGGAAAUUUCAUCAUGUGAUGUGUCCAUGAUUAACCCUCAAGAACACAGUAGAAAGCAAAUUAAGGAGAGGGGAACAAGUGGCAUAAAUUACAUAUUCUUGAGUCCUGGUUCUUCCUCUGUUUUACCUUGGAAAUGCACUUCUAAGGACUCUAAUCAUUGUUUGCAAGUUCGUCCUUGCCUUGAUCCUUCUCAGACUCCUUAUGCAUGGGGCAAUCCUGUUGUCCUGGGCUCUGCCUAUGUACUUGGAAAGGACCAACCUUCAGUUGAGCAAGGCACACUAUCAAGACAAAGUACUUUGAGACAGGGAAACAGGCUACAUGUUUCUCCUUUGAAGCUUAAUCAGCUUGAAAAAAUGGAUCUACUUCUCUGUUGCCCUGAUGCUACCGGUAAACAGUAUUGGCUCUGCAUUGGCACAGAUGCUUCAGUUCUUCACACAGAGCUAAACGCCCCUGUCUAUGAUUGGAAAAUAUCAGUUAGCUCCCCUCUGAAAUUGGAAAAUCGACUUCCUUGUGGAGCUGAGUUCAGAAUUUGGGAAAAACUCAAAGAUGGAAGCAAUAUAGAGCGUCAUCGUGGUUAUCUUUCAUCUCGUGAAAGCAUGCACAUUUAUUCUGCUGAUAUAAGGAAUCCUCUCUAUCUUAUGUUGUUUCUUCAAGGUGGUUGGGUUUUGGAAAAGGAACCUGUUUUGGUUUUGGAUCUUACAAGUAAUAGUCAUGCUUCAUCAUUUUGGAUGGUCCAGCAGCAUAGAAAAAGGACAUUGCGUGUAAGUAUUGAACGUGACAUGGGAGGAACAACUGCUGCUCCCAAAACCAUAAGGUUCUUUGUUCCAUAUUGGAUUAGCAAUGAGUCCUACUUGUCUUUGGCAUAUCAAGUUGUGGAAAUUGAAGCAGUGGAAAGUGCAGCAGACGUAGAUUCACUUGUGCUUUCAAGAACUAAGUCUGCUAGAUUAUCAUCGAGAGGUUCAUCUACUUCGUUUGGCAGGAAGCAGAUAGGUCCUAGAAAAAACAUUCAAGUGCUUGAUAUUAUUGAAGAUACUAGUCCAAUUCCCAGCAUGCUUUCUCCACAAGAUUACGUUGGCCGUGGUGGGGUGGUGUUGUUUUCAUCUCGUAAUGAUGCGUAUCUUUCUUCACGGGUGGGCAUUUCUGUUGCUAUUCAAAACUCUGAAAACUUCAGUCCUGGUAUCUCUCUUCUUGAACUAGAAAAGAAGCAACGAGUUGAUAUCAAGGCCUUUGGUCCAGAUGGGUAUUAUCACAAGCUUUCUGCUGUAUUGCAUAUGACAUCAGACAGAACAAAGGUUGUCCAUUUUCAACCGCACACUUUAUUUAUUAAUAGGCUUGGCUGCAACAUAUGCCUCUGUCAGUGCAAUUCUGAGUUGCGUGAAUGGAUCCAUCCAACUGAUCCUCCAAAACAUUUUGCAUGGCAACAUAAUAAAGUUGAAUUAUUGAAGGUAAGGCUGGAUGGAUACCAAUGGAGUUCACCAUUUAGUGUUGGCUCUGAAGGUUUGAUGUCUAUUUGCCUGAUAAGUGAGAGUGGAAGUGACCUGAUACGUGUUAGGGUUGAAGUUAGAAGCAGUUCAAAAGACUCACGCUUUGAAGUAGUAUUCCGACCAAAGUCAUUCUCAAGUCCUUACAGGAUUGAAAAUCGCUCUUUAGUUUUGCCUAUACGUUUUCGACAAGUGGAUGGUGCAAAUGAUGCAUGGAGAGUUAUUCUUCCUAAUGCUUCUGCUUCUUUCUCAUGGGAAGAUCUCGGUCGACAACGAUUGCUUGAGCUCUUGAUAGAAGGGAAUGAACCGUCUACAAAAAAAUACAAUAUUGAUGAGAUAUCUGAUCAUCAGCCUGUCCAUACAACUGAAAGACCUGAGAAAGCUUUACGUGUUACUGUCCUAAAAGAGGAGAAAAUGAAUGUUGUUCGAAUCAGUGAUUGGAUGCCAAUAAAUGACACCCCUACUAAUUUAAGUAGAACUCCUUCAUUGUCACAAAUCUCUGGCAAUUCUCCUUCUCAGCAAUCAAUAUACACCUCAGACUCCGAGUUUCAUGUUAUUGUUGAGGUUGCAGAGCUUGGACUAUCUAUUAUUGAUCAUACGCCAGAAGAAAUAUUAUAUCUGUCCGUGCAGAGUCUUCUGCUAUCUUAUUCAACUGGACUGGGUUCUGGAGUUAGCCGCCUAAAAGUAAGAAUGCGCCGGAUUCAGGUCGACAAUCAGUUGCCUUUAAGUCCAAUGCCAGUUCUCUUCCGUCCACAAAGAAUUGAAGAGCACACUGAUUAUAUCUUGAAGUUUUCCUUGACACAGCAGUCUAGUGGAUCACUGGAUUUCUGUGUGUAUCCCUACAUUGGUUUCCAAGGACCUGAAAAUUCUGCUUUUUUAAUCAACAUUCACGAACCAAUAAUAUGGCGCCUUCAUGGGAUGAUUCAACAAGCUAACCUUAGUAGGUUAUUUGAUACACAGACUACUUCUGUUUCUGUUGAUCCCAUCAUUCAAAUUGGUGUUUUUAACAUCUCGGAAAUUCGAAUCAAAGUCUCGAUGGUCAUGUCCCCAACACAACGUCCAGUGGGUGUUCUAGGGUUUUGGUCAAGCUUGAUGACUGCACUUGGGAAUACCGAAAAUAUGCCGGUCCGCAUAAAUCAAAGAUUUCUGGAAAAUGUCUUGAUGAAGCGUAGUGUUCUUGUUGGUAAUGCUAUUGCAAACAUUAAAAAGGAUCUACUUGGCCAGCCUCUCCAGUUGCUCUCUGGUGUUGAUAUACUUGGCAAUGCAAGUAGUGCACUUGGACACAUGAGUAAAGGUGUUGCUGCCUUGUCAAUGGAUAAGAAAUUCAUCCAAAGUCGACAAAAACAGGAAAGCAAAGGUGUUGAGGAUUUUGGUGAUGUCAUUAGAGAAGGUGGGGGAGCUUUCGCAAAAGGCCUUUUUCGUGGUGUCACUGGCAUUUUAACUAAGCCCCUUGAGGGAGCAAAAGCUUCAGGGGUUGAGGGUUUUGUUCAGGGUGUUGGAAAAGGAUUAAUUGGUGCUGCUGCUCAACCUGUUAGUGGCGUUUUGGAUCUUUUGUCAAAAACCACAGAAGGUGCCAAUGCUAUGAGAAUGAAAAUAGCGUCAGCUAUUGCUUCAGAGGAUCAACUCCUACGGAGGAGGCUACCUCGAGUAAUUAGUGCUGAUAAUCUGCUUCGGCCAUAUGAUGAGUACAAAGCACAAGGGCAGGUAAUGUUGCAAUUAGCAGAAUCUGGAUCAUUCUUUGGCCAGGUUGACCUUUUCAAAGUGCGAGCAAAGUUUGCCUUGACAGAUGCUUAUGAAGACCACUUCAUGCUCCCUAAAGGAAGAAUUAUUGUUAUUACACAUCGGAGAGUUUUACUGUUGCAACAAACUUCAAACCUUAUUGCGCAGAAGAAGUUUAAUCCUGCAAGAGACCCAUGUUCAGUAUUGUGGGAUGUCCUGUGGGAUGAUUUGGUGACAAUGGAAUUGUCUCCUGGAAAGAAAGAUGCUAUAAAUGGUCCACCCUCACGGCUGAUUAUAUAUCUGCAAAGUCGAUCAUUAGAGGGAAAGGACCAAUUUCGCAUUGUAAAAUGCCAGCGAGAUUCUAAUCAAGCGUUUCAGGUUUAUUCAGCAAUUGAGCUGGCAAGGACUACUUAUGGGCCAAGUGAUUCAAAGGCUAUGCUUAAAAGGAAAGUGACAAAACCAUAUUCACCAGUUGCUGAUGCAGCCAGCACUGAAGCAAUUUCUAAAGAUGGUGCUGGCGCCUGGUCACCUCAGCUGAUGCCAAUUUCGUCUUUUGGAAGCAGCGAGCAUUGAAGCAGAAAGUAGUUGCUUUAGUUACAUGUGGUUUUGCUAGGGUGGGUGCGAUUCACAAAUCAAAAAGUAUUGGUGAGAGACAUACAAAUCCUUCUUGUAUGUGUGGAAGAGUUGUGCUGUAAUCGAAAUUAUUUUUUAUGUAUAGCUUAUCUGAUCAUUCCUUCCCUUUAAUGGGCCUACAAAUGCUAGCAUAGUCCAAUGUGUUCAUUGACGGCAUUGUACACUAGUUUCCCAGUGUAAUACAUAAACCUCAGGUUUUGUUACAUGGCUUUAUUUAACAAAGAGCCAACUUGUAUAAGAAAUUUUGUUUCAUGGUCAAAUUAUUGUUAAUCUUUUAUGA